UGAUGGCCAGGCAGGCCGCAAGAACCAGCAGACGGAACAUAUCUGGAAAUGGAAAAAUGGAAAAUGCUACAUCAAUCAACAUGACGAAGCCCACUGUGCUACUAUACUGGCUCACGAAGAAAUGAAAAUCUGCUGUUGUUGUCUGUUCAUAACGAGUGACCAUUCAACAGGUAAAGCCAACACUAAAGGGAUUGCAAGCCAAGACAGCCCGGUGUAGAGGUGCGAUCGUCACUAGAUAUAACCUCGUUAAGAGGUGUUUUUUGUUUGAUAAAUACUUGAAAUUAAAUGUCCUUGAGUUAUAAAAGUA